AGAGACAGCAGUAGCCGCGGUAAUACGUAGGUCCCGAGCGUUGUCCGGAUUUAUUGGGCGUAAAGCGAGCGCAGGCGGUUAGAUAAGUCUGAAGUUAAAGGCUGUGGCUUAACCAUAGUACGCUUUGGAAACUGUUUAACUUGAGUGCAAGAGGGGAGAGUGGAAUUCCAUGUGUAGCGGUGAAAUGCGUAGAUAUAUGGAGGAACACCGGUGGCGAAAGCGGCUCUCUGGCUUGUAACUGACGCUGAGACUCGAAAGCGUGGGGAGCAAACAGGAUUAGAUACCCCUGUAGUCCCUGUCUCUUAUACA
rnacentral:rRNA from 1 species